GUCUCAGCGAGCCCGACUUCUCACUGACGAUCAUCGAAUCAAAAUCACUCCUUAUUCUUUUUCGACUCUCAGCAACCUCAACUCGCUUUCUUUCUUCUCAACCGAGGCCAAUAGCCGGAAGCCAGAAUCUCACCGUUCUUCUUGACGGAGAUCGUCGACUAUUACGUGUUUCGGCGUCUAUUUCCUAGUUGCAGCAACUAAUUCGGUUUCCACUUCUAUCAUAGUAUCUUAGAGGGAGAUUAGGUAGCCAACAAUUAUGGCAACUCUGAAAGACCUUCUUCCUGCUGUAAAGUCAACAACUGUGACACACUAUGAUCACUCAAAUGAUCCAUGGUUCAAGCAGCGGUUUAGUUCAUCCGAAGCAGAGCAAACUUCUGUUGUAAAGGCCAAUCCCGUGCCGCCUUACUUGAAGCGUAGUGGCUUUGUUCCACGGAGAGUAGAGGAUUUUGGAGAUGGUGGUGCUUUCCCAGAGAUUCACAUUGCUCAAUACCCACUUGACAUGGGUAGAGACAAAUCAUCAAAGCCUGGAUCGAAGAUCCUUCCUGUUACGGUGGAUGCUCAUGGAAAUGUUGCAUAUGAUGCUAUUGUCAAACAGAAUGAAAAUUCUAAAAAGAUCGUUUAUUCACAACACAAAGACCUCAUUCCAAAGAUCUUGAAAAAUGAUGAAGAGAGUGAUGAAGGUGAAGAUCUGCAGAAAGAGAUUGACGAAACAACAGAGGAAACAAAGUCUGCACUUGAAAAGAUAGUGAAUGUGAGAUUGAGUGCAGCUCAGCCUAAAAAUGUAGCCAAGCAAUCUUCAGAUUCAAAAUUUAUUAAGUAUAAACCGUCUCAGCAAGCAGCAGCUUUUAAUUCAGGCGCCAAGGAGAGAAUCAUUAGAAUGGUGGAAAUGCCUGUCGAUCCACUUGAGCCUCCAAAGUUCAAGCAUAAGCGUGUUCCUAAAGCUUCUGGGUCUCCUCCUGUGCCAGUCAUGCAUUCCCCUCCUCGUCCUGUCACCGUGAAGGAUCAACAGGAUUGGAAGAUACCGCCUUGUAUUUCAAAUUGGAAGAAUCCAAAAGGUUACACAAUUCCACUUGACAAGCGGCUUGCAGCUGAUGGAAGAGGCCUUCAAGAGGUGCAAAUCAACGAUAAUUUUGCCAAGCUAUCCGAAGCUUUAUAUGUUGCAGAACAGAAAGCUAGAGAAGCAGUUGCAAUGAGAUCUAAGGUUCAGAAAGAAAUGCUUAUGAAGCAAAAGGAGAAGAAGGAGUUGGAGCUUCGAGCCUUAGCUCAAAAGGCUCGGUCUGAGAGAACUGGUGCUGCGCCUCCUUCUGCAGUUCAUUAUUCAUCUGAGAGGAGCACUGUUGAUAGAGAUACUUCUGAAAUAAGCGUGGAGUUCGAGCGUGUUAGAGAAAAAGAAAAGGAUUUACCAAAGGAAUCAAGGGAAGAAAGGGAAGAGCGGUUGCAGCGUGAGAAGAUUCGUGAGGAACGACGUCGAGAGAGGGAAAGGGAAAGAAGGUUGGAGGCGAAAGAUGCAGCAAUGGGAAAGAAGAGCAAGAUUACAAGAGAUAGAGAUCGCGAUAUUAGUGAGAAAGUUGCACUUGGUAUGGCUUCUACUGGAGCAGGUAGAGAAGGAGAAGUUAUGUAUGAUCAAAGGCUAUUUAACCAAGAUAAAGGAAUGGACUCGGGAUUUGCCAACGACGACCAGUACAAUAUAUACGACAGGGGUUUAUUUACUGCUCAACCCACUCUCUCAACCCUUUACAGACCUAAAAAAGAUGCCGAUUCCGACAUGUACGGUGGUGCUGAUGAACAGCUAGACAAGAUUACGAAAACAGAUCGCUUCAAACCAGACAAGUCAUUCUCAGGCACAUCAGAAAGGUCCGGACCUAGAGACCGACCAGUUGAGUUUGAAAGAGAAGUUGAAGAAGCCGAUCCAUUUGGACUCGAUCAGUUCUUGACUGAAGUGAAGAAAGGUAAGAAAGCUAUGGAUAAAGUUGGCAGUGGUGGGACAAUGAGAGCCAGUGGUGGCUCAUCGACGCGAGAUGGCUACGAUGGUGGCUCAGGUAGAACUCGCAUUGGAUUUGAAAGAGGGCAUUAGGAGAGAUUUUUCUCGAAGAUCUCUCAUUCAUUUGGAUUGAAUUUCUCUUUGCGACAUGUGGAAAACUUGGCAUCCCGAUCAGGAGGAUACUUUUUCGAAGAAAAUGGGGCCAAAUUUUCCACAUAUAUUUUAGAUGCCUUCAGGGGACAGCUUGUUAUCUUCAGUGUCGAUCAGUUUUUUGUUCGUCAAUGACGAAUUGGAUCAACAGAGAAAUCCCUUCAACCGCUACGUCCAUGAAGGAAAAGAAAAAUGAAAAGCAGAUUCGGGUGAUCUUUUUUCUGUUUGUAUUGCUCUUUAUUGACCAAAACCUUUUGUUUUUAGCAAAGUAACGAAGCAAAGAAACGAUGGAUGAUUUGUUACAACCCACCCACCCAUCACAAAGUUAUAAAAUUAAUAAACCAGGAGAUCAACGGCGAAGAUCCAGCCAGGUAUUCCCAUUCGACCAUACCUUUACAAAAAAGAAUUUACGUUGAAUGUUAUGGUUAGAACAUAUAUAUAUAAUUGCUGCAUUUUGUUCUGUUUCAUAA